AUGCCUCAUACAUGCAAGUCGAACGAGGUUUUCGGACCUAGUGGCGCACGGGUGAGUAACAUGUGGGAAUCUGCCUGAAGGUUCGGAAUAACUGCGGGAAACUGUAGCUAAUACCGGAUGUGUCUGUAAAGAGAAAGAUUUAUCGCCUUCAGAUGAGCCCGCACUAGAUUAGCUAGUUGGUGAGGUAACUGCUCCACCAAGGCUACGAUCUAUAGCUGAUUUGAGAGGAUGAUCAGCCACACUGGGACUGAGACACGGCCCAGACUCCUACGGGAGGCAGCAGUAGGGAAUAUUGGACAAUGGGGGAAACCCUGAUCCAGCAAUGCCGCGUGAGUGAAGAAGGCCUUCGGGUUGUAAAACUCUUUCAUCAAUGAUGAUAAUGACAUUAGUUGAAGAAGAAGCUCCGGCUAACUUCGUGCCAGCAGCCGCGGUAAUACGAAGGGGGCUAGCGUUGUUCGGAAUCACUGGGCGUAAAGCGUAUGUAGGCGGAUCAAAAAGUUAGAUGUGAAAUCCCUGGGCUCAACCCAGGAACUGCAUUUAAAACUAGUGAUCUAGAAUUUGGUAGGGGUUAGUAGAAUUUCCAGUGUAGAGGUGAAAUUCGUAGAUAUUGGAAAGAAUACCAGUGGCGAAGGCGACUAACUGGGCCAUUUUUGACGCUGAGAUACGAAAGCGUGGGUAGCAAACAGGAUUAGAUACCCUGGUAGUCCACGCAGUAAACGAUGAGUGCUAGUCGCUGGGACAAUAGUUUCAGUGUCGAAGCUAACGCAUUAAGCACUCCGCCUGGGAAGUACG
rnacentral:rRNA from 1 species